AUGAUUGUGGAAGAUUUCUUGCUCUUCUGGGCUUGUGGAAGUGGCCACUUAUGGAGGUUGAUUGAUUUGGUUGGUUCGAUAGGAUCCCAACCUGAGGAGAAUGAUGGUUUGAAGAUGGCUAGCGGCCUGUGGGGCAUCGACCAGACUGGCAGCGACCCCAAUGGAGGGGAAGGGCUCGACAGGCGCUUCCAGGCAGGAGAGGCUUGGGGGCCUCGUGGAUUGGGAAGAUGGCGGCCACCCGGGUUUCUUCGAUCGAUCUGCGAUCUGGACAGGGCCACGGCAACGCGGGCGUCGGGCGUAGGCGAGCGACCCUCUGUAGCCACAUGUUGA
rnacentral:rRNA from 1 species